UAGGGAAUCUUCGGCAAUGGACGAAAGUCUGACCGAGCAACGCCGCGUGAGUGAAGAAGGUUUUCGGAUCGUAAAGCUCUGUUGUUGGCGAAGAAGGAUAGAGGCAGUAACUGGUCUUUAUUUGACGGUAAUCAACCAGAAAGUCACGGCUAACUACGUGCCAG
rnacentral:rRNA from 1 species